UACGUAGGGGGCUAGCGUUGUCCGGAAUCAUUGGGCGUAAAGCGCGCGUAGGCGGCCUGGUAAGUCCGCUGUGAAAGUCAAAGGCUCAACCUUUGAAUGUCAGCGGAUACUGCCAGGCUAGAGUCCGGAAGAGGCGAGUGGAAUUCCUGGUGUAGCGGUGGAAUGCGCAGAUAUCAGGAGGAACACCAACGGCGAAGGCAGCUCGCUGGGACGGUACUGACGCUGAGGCGCGAAAGCGUGGGGAGCAAACAGG
rnacentral:rRNA from 1 species